UACGGGGGGGGUAAGCGUUGUCCGGAAUUAUUGGGCGUAAAGAGCUCGUAGGCGGUGUGUCGCGUCGGCCGUGAAAACCUGCAGCUUAACUGUGGGCUUGCGGUCGAUACGGGCAUCACUGGAGUUCGGCAGGGGAGACUGGAAUUCCUGGUGUAGCGGUGAAAUGCGCAGAUAUCAGGAGGAACACCGGUGGCGAAGGCGGGUCUCUGGGCCGAUACUGACGCUGAGGAGCGAAAGCGUGGGGAGCGAACAGG
rnacentral:rRNA from 1 species